CCGCGCCGCGCGCCCCCGGUCCGGCCCGCGGCGUCCACCCUCCUUCACCCGGCCCCGCCGCGCCUCCCGCUCGCUCCCGCCGCGCCCCGCGCCCCCGGCCCCGGGCUUCGGCCUCCGGCCCCGGGCGGCGGCGCGGCACGGGCGGCAGCAUGGUGGAGAAGCGCUGCCCGCUGCAGAGGGACGGCGUGUACCGUUGGUUCUCGGAGCUGCCGUCGCCGCAGCGCGUGGAGUUCCUGUGCGGCCUGCUGGACCUGUGCAUCCCGCUCGAGUUGCGCUUUCUCGGCUCCUGCCUCGAGGACCUGGCGCGCAAGGACUACCACUCGCUGCGCGACUCCGAGAUCAAGGCCAACAACCCCGCCGACCUGGGCAGCCUCACCAACCUGACCGACGAGGUGGUGCGCAGCAAGCUGCUGGUGUCGCUGGCGCUCCUGGGCUCGGAGCAGCGCGAGGCGGCUGGCGUGCUCUACCGCACGCUCACGCACAUCGACUCCAUCAUCCACAACUACGGGCUGCAGCUCAACGAGGGCCGUACGGGCGAUGAGUUCCUGCUGCUCUUCACCAUGGCCUCCAACCACCCGGCCUUCAGCUUUCACCAGAAGCAGGUGCUGCGCCAGGAGCUCACGCAGAUUCAGAGCAGCCUGAGCGGCGGCGGCGGCGGCGGCGGGGGCCACGGGGGCAAGAGCGCGCUGCCCACCUGCCCGUCCUGCCACAAGGUCACUCCAAGAACCGAAACCCCUGUCACUAGUGUCAGUAAUAGUUUGGAGAAUGCACUACGUACAUCAGCACAUUCCACUGAGGAGUCGCUGCCCAAGAGGACUGUGGGAAAACACUCCAAAGUGAGUGUUGAAAAGAUAGACCUGAAGGGAUUAUCACACAAAAAAAAUGAAAGAAAUGUUGAAUGUUCCUUUGAGGUCUUGUGGUCUGACUCUUCAGUAACAUCAGUAACCAAAUCUUCCUCUGAAGUGACUGAAUUUAUUUCAAAGUUAUCUCAGCUAUACCCUGAAGAAAAUUUGGAGAAAUUCAUUCCUUGCUUAGCUGGCCCAGAUUCGUUUUAUGUAGAGCGAAACCACAUGGAUCUGGAAGCGGACCUGAGGUAUUUGGCUUCAUUACCUUCUCACGUACUGAAAAAUGACCAUGUUAAGAAAUUUUUCAGCACUUCAUCUCCCACCCAACAGCUUCAAAGUCCAAGUCCUGGCAACCUUUCCCUUUCUAAAGUUGGUACCAUGAUGGGCGUGUCUGGAAGGCCUGUGUGUGGAGUAGCCGGCAUCCCAUCCUCUCAGAGCGGCGCCCAGCACCACAUGCAGCACUCAGCUGGCGCAGCCGCCUUGCCCCACUGCUCCCACACAGGGGGCGGGGGCGCGGCGCUGGCCUACCGGGCCCAGAUGGACACCUCGCCUGCCAUCUUAAUGCCUUCCAGUCUGCAGACCCCUCAGACCCAGGAGCAAAAUGGGAUUUUAGAUUGGCUGAGGAAACUGCGUUUGCACAAAUACUAUCCCGUCUUUAAACAACUUACAAUGGAGAAGUUUCUGAGCCUUACCGAAGAAGAUCUAAAUAAAUUUGAAUCCCUUACCAUGGGAGCAAAGAAAAAACUCAAGACUCAACUGGAGCUGGAGAAGGAGAAGUCAGAGAAACGGUGCCUGAACCCCUCAGCCCCACCCCCGGUCACCAGCAGUGGAGUGGCCCGUGUGCCCCCCACAAGCCACGUGGGGCCCGUGCAGAAUGUCCGGAGCCCCCACGCUGCAGCCCUGCGGGUGGAAGUGGAGCCCCCUCACCAGACGGCCCGGGAAGGCAGCUCCUCCGAGUGCUCCAGCUCUUCCCCCAGCCCGAUGGGGGUGCAGGCCCGGGAGGAGAGCUCCGACAGCGCUGAGGAGAAUGACAGGCGUGUGGAGAUGCACAUGGAGGGUUCUGAGAAGGAGAAGCCUGUCAUGCUACUGAAUCAUUUCACUUCAAGUUCUGCCAGACCCACGGCCCAGGUUCUCCCUGUGCAGAAUGAGGCAGGCUCCAACCCUUCAGGCCACCACCCCCUGCCUCCACAGAUGAUGACUGCAGCCUCGCACAUUGCACCCAUCCGAAUGCUGAAUUCUGUGCACAAAUCAGAAAGGGGAGGCACGGACAUGAAGCUCCUCUCGUCUUCUAUGCACUCAUUGCUGUCUCUAGAAGAAAGGAAUAAAGUCUCUGGACCAAGAAGUGGAAUCAAAGUGGACAAGAGUUUUGGCAAUGCCAUGAUGGAUGUGUUGCCCACGUCUGCCCCCCAUCAGCCCAUGCAGGUCCUCUCUGGACUUGCUGAGAGCAGCUCUGUGUCACCCACUAUCUCCUUUGGUCCCCGCACCAAAGUUGUCCAUGCGUCUGCACUGGACAGGGUGAUGAAGCCAGCCCAGCAGCCGGCCCUGGUGGUGGAGACUAGCACUGCUGCCGUGGGAACAUCCAGCACAGUCUUCCACGUGGCUCGGCCACCAAUCAAACUUCUGGUGUCUUCAUCUGUCCCUGCGGAUUCUGUCAUUUCUGGACAAACUUCCUGUUCUAAUAACGUACAGAUCAGUGUGCCCCCUGCAAUAAUAAACCCCCGGACUGCGCUGUACACAGCCAACACCAAAGCUGCCUUCUCUGCAAUGAGCAGUGUGCCUGUGGGCCCCCUGCAGGGCAGCUUUUGUGCGAACAGCAACACUGCCUCCUCCAGUAGCCACCCUUCCCCAUCCUUCCCAAACAUGGCCACUGUGCCCAGCUGCCCGGCCCCCAGCUCCAGCCCUGCGCUCUCCUCAGUCCCUGAAAGCAGUUUCUACAGCAGCAGCAGCAGCAGCAGUGGCAGCGGCUCCCCCGGGAACAUUCCUGCCUCUGCUCAGAACCACCACCACCACCACCACCAUCAGCAGCCGUCGGCGCCCCCGCAGCCCUCACCUGGCCCACCACCGGGCUGCGUCGUGUGCACGUCCUGUGGAUGCAGCGGGAGCUGCGGCUCUGGUGGCCUGACCGUUAGCUACGCCAACUAUUUCCAGCACCCGUUCUCGGGCCCAUCUGUCUUCCCCUUCCCCUUCCUGCCCUUCAGCCCUGUGUGUGGCAGCGGCUAUGUGGGCACCCAGCAGUAUGGCAACAGCGCCUUCCCGGUUGUGCACUCACCAUAUGGCAGCAGUGUGCCUGCCGAGCCCGUGCUGGGCGGCCAGUCCACAUUCACCGUCCCUCCCAUGCAGAGCUUCAUGGCAGGGGCAGCUGGUGUGUACCAGGCCCAGGGCUUGGUGGGCAGUAGCAAUGGUUCCAGUCACAAAAAGAGCGGCAAUCUCUCAUGUUACAACUGUGGGGCCACCGGUCACCGCGCUCAGGACUGCAAGCAGCCGUCCAUGGACUUCAAUCGGCAAGGUACUUUUAGGUUGAAAUAUGCCCCUCCAGCAGAAAGUCUGGACUCCACAGAUUGAUAUUUUUCUCUGGCAACAGAACACUAUUAAGCCAUGGAGACAUAAGGAAAAUUAAAUACAAAACUGAGAAGUCUAGUUGCUGUUGAGCUUAAUAUUUUUAAUCCAAAGGUGCUUUACUUUAUUAGACUGGAUAGAAAACCUAGCAUAGGAGUGCAUCAAACUCAGUUUUAUUGCCAAAAUUCUAGAUUGGAGCCUGAUGUCAGGACUUGCCUAGUGGGCAUCUCCACAGCAGGUGAAAUUGGCCACCUCCACCCUUGAUGGCAGUGCAGAGGCCUCCCGUCUCUGGAAGAGCAUUGCCGUAAUUGGUCCUUCUAGGCUCACACGUAAUUCCAGGGCAGCUACGCGAGAUCGGAAUCGAGAACUGAAGGUUGGAGUUCUCCAAGUGGAGUUCCACCAGUCGGACUCUUGACACCCCUGGAAGAUGUCCUCACGUUAGAAACACAGAUCAGACUGAUCCUUUCAACUACUUAGUCGUUUUCCUGAAACCGUGGCUGUUUCCAAGUGCUGUGGCAAACAGGUAGGUGUGGCACCAGCCACUUUGCUUUAUGUAGUCUGUCAUAUAUUAAAGUUUCUAACCCCAUUUUAUCUUCAAGAAUGGGGAAAGUAGAAUGUACAGAUCAAAGUAGAAUACAAUGUUGGGAUGAAACAACUACUUCAUCUUUUUUUUUUUAAAGCAAAACUGUCAAUUUUCUACCUUAUUUUCUAAUUUUUAUUUCAUGGUCAUACUGAAAAUAGGAAAAUGUUUAAACAUUAAAACUCCUAAUUGUUAAAGAGCACUGAGGAAAUGGGAGCUAGCACUUCUAAUAAAACAUUUAUUUUUUGAAAGCCGAUAUGUGAUUGGGUAUUUAAAAAAACCAGCAUCAUCUAUAUAAUCUCCAAAAGAUUACAGGAGUCAGCUUGUUAAUAUAGUAGUUCGUAGGUUGAGUAUUUUAAUUCACUAUAUUUAGAAUUCUAUAAGUCCUUUAUCACAAGAAGUCAACAUAGUUAGUUUACACUACACAUCAUGUAUGGAGGCGCAGUAGCAGUGGUAGUAACUUCGCCUGACGUCACACAGCUGUAAUGUGUUCCCUGUUUGAGCACAGGCUGACUGAGGCUUGCACUCAUUCACUCACUCCAGUGUCUCUAGUGAGCACUUGCCAAGCAGGAAUUGGGUUGCACCCUCCCCUCUUCACUCCCUAUCAUUUUGUCACUCUUCCUACUUUCAUGGUGGUUUCUUUGAUGCCUUGCUAGUUUUACUGAUGGCGUUACCUGUUGAAGACUCUUAAAGGUUAUAAGGGAAACCAUGUCCCUGCUCAGCUUGACCACCCAUCUCAGAGGAUAGCGCCUGUGGAACCUGAUCCCAUUGGCCAUCCUUUCCAAAGGACAGAUGACUCCCAAAGAAUGAGUCAGGUGACAUUUAAAGCCAUGGGUUCUGAAGAGGCUCAAUUAUUGACAAGUCCCAAGGUUAUGAAAGAAAGUAUCUUUAAUCAACAUUCACAAAACGAAAUACUGUGCUGGUUGAGGCCAAAGGUCAAUGUUACUACACUGUUAAUGGAGGGAGGGGAGUGCCGGUCGGGUAUUGUAACAAGCCCCUCACAUGGGUAAGUUUUUAUAUGCACAAGGACAAAGGCUUUGGUACUGAAACUGAAGACCUCGUAUACUUAAGAAUCUUCACAGCUUCUAUUGAACAUAUUUUCUUUUUAGGAAUGAAGGAAAAGUCUCCCAUUUUUGAGCCAUUCUUUUAUGUCAGUUCUACAAAAUUGCAUGUAACUUUAUAAAUAUUUUUUAAAAAUAUAGUUUUGUAAAUAUUUAAUAUUCUGCUAAUUUGAUUUUGAAUUGUAAAUGUCAAGUAUUGUUUUUGGGGUUUUUAUGUUUUAUUAUACUUUGUUAAAAAUGGAAAAAUUGUACAUUUUUAGAAUGUUUUUAUGAGUAAAUUUAAUGUACUGAAAAUAAAAAAAUGAAAAUAAAAACUUUCAUUUUAUUAGGUCUUUGCCUCAAAUAUAAAGCACACAUCUUUUCAAAUAAUUCACAAUUCUUGAUCUCCAAACUAGGGAGUCAAUCCUUUCUGCCUUCCCAGCUUUACAAAAGAAAUACUUAGUCUUAAACGUGUUUUCUGUCAAGGUUCCCAGGUUUUUAACAAAUACCCUUGGUAUGGAUAGAAAUGUGAAUUCUUGAUUGGGGUAUAAAGAUGGUUUCAUAACUAUCAAGGUAGGUGUUAACAGAUCUAAGCGUCUGUAAACAUUCCCAAAUGCAUGGUGAAUGUGCCCGACCAUCUUAAACUCUGUCCUUUGGAUUUGGGAGGUUGGCAGUGUGAGUAUGCCUACAUUUUUGUCAUGAGCAGUGCCAAGCACUAG